GUCGAGCGCCGUAGCAAUACGGAGCGGCAGACGGGAGAGUAACACGUGGGAACGUGCCCUUCAGUUCGGAACAACCCAGGGAAACUUGGGCUAAUACCGGAUACGUCCGUAAGGAGAAAGAUUUAUCGCUGAAGGAUCGGCCCGCGUCUGAUUAGCUUGUUGGUGAGGUAACGGCUCACCAAGGCGACGAUCAGUAGCUGGUCUGAGAGGAUGAUCAGCCUCACUGGGACUGAGAUACGGCCCAGACUCCUACGGGAGGCAGCAGUGGGGAAUAUUGGUCAAUGGGCGCAAGCCUGAUCCAGCCAUGCCGCGUGGGUGAUGAAGGCCCUAGGGUUGUAAAGCCCUUUCGGCGGGGAAGAUAAUGACGGUACCCGCAGAAGAAGCCCCGGCUAACUUCGUGCCAGCAGCCGCGGUAAUACGAAGGGGGCUAGCGUUGCUCGGAAUCACUGGGCGUAAAGCGCACGUAGGCGGCUUUUUAAGUCAGGGGUGAAAUCCUGGAGCUCAACUCCAGAACUGCCUUUGAUACUGAGAAGCUUGAGUCCGGGAGAGGUGAGUGGAACUGCGAGUGUAGAGGUGA
rnacentral:rRNA from 1 species